GAUGACGCUGACAGAAUGUUCACACAUGCAAGUCAACUUGAACUUCGGUUUGGGUGGCGGACGGGUGAGUAACGCGUAAAGAACUUGCCUCACAGAUAGGGACAACAUUUGGAAACGAAUGCUAAUACCUGAUAUUAUGAUUUUAGGGCAUCCUAGAAUUAUGAAAGCUAUAUGCGCUGUGAGAGAGCUUUGCGUCCCAUUAGCUAGUUGGAGAGGUAACGGCUCACCAAGGCGAUGAUGGGUAGCCGGCCUGAGAGGGUGAUCGGCCACAAGGGGACUGAGACACGGCCCUUACUCCUACGGGAGGCAGCAGUGGGGAAUAUUGGACAAUGGACCAAGAGUCUGAUCCAGCAAUUCUGUGUGCACGAUGAAGUUUUUCGGAAUGUAAAGUGCUUUCAGUUGGGAAGAAAAAAAUGACGGUACCAACAGAAGAAGUGACGGCUAAAUACGUGCCAGCAGCCGCGGUAAUACGUAUGUCACAAGCGUUAUCCGGAUUUAUUGGGCGUAAAGCGCGUCUAGGUGGUUAUGUAAGUCUGAUGUGAAAAUGCAGGGCUCAACUCUGUAUUGCGUUGGAAACUGUGUAACUAGAGUACUGGAGAGGUAAGCGGAACUACAAGUGUAGAGGUGAAAUUCGUAGAUAUUUGUAGGAAUGCCGAUGGGGAAGCCAGCUUACUGGACAGAUACUGACGCUGAAGCGCGAAAGCGUGGGUAGCAAACAGG
rnacentral:rRNA from 1 species